GAGUUUGAUCUUGGCUCAGGAUGAACGCUGGCGGCGUGCUUAACACAUGCAAGUCGAACGAGGAAUUUUAAAUGAGACUUCGGUGGAUUUUAAAAUUCUUAGUGGCGGACGGGUGAGUAACGCGUGGGCAACCUGCCCUGUACAGGGGGGACAACAGCUGGAAACGGCUGCUAAUACCGCAUAAGACCACGGAGCCGCAUGGCUCAGUGGGAAAAACUCCGGUGGUACAGGAUGGGCCCGCGUUGGAUUAGGUAGUUGGUGAGGUAACGGCCCACCAAGCCGACGAUCCAUAGCCGACCUGAGAGGGUGACCGGCCACGUUGGGACUGAGACACGGCCCAAACUCCUACGGGAGGCAGCAGUGGGGAAUCUUCCGCAAUGGGCGAAAGCCUGACGGAGCAACGCCGCGUGAGUGAAGAAUUAUUUCGGUAUGUAAAGCUCUAUCAGCAGGGAAGAAAAUGACGGUACCUGACUAAGAAGCCCCGGCUAACUACGUGCCAGCAGCCGCCGU
rnacentral:rRNA from 1 species